AUUGAACGCUGGCGGCAGGCCUAACACAUGCAAGUCGAACGAGUGGCGGACGGGUGAGUAAUGUCUGGGAAACUGCCUGCUGGAGGGGGAUAACUACUGGAAACGGUAGCUAAUACCGCAUACCAUCAGAUGUGCCCAGAUGGGAUUAGCUAGUAGGUGGGGUAACGGGUAACCUAGGCGACGAUCCCUAGCUGGUCUGAGAGGAUGACCAGCCACACUGGAAAGGGGACACGGUCCAGACUCCUAGGGGAGGCAGCAGUGGGGAAGAUUGCACAAUGGGCGCAAGCCUAAUGCAGCCAUGCCGCGUGUAUGAGGAAGGCCUUCGGGUUGUAAAGUACUUUCAGCGGGGAGGCGUUAACCGCAUAAGAAGCACCGGCUAACUCCGUGCCAGCAGCAGCGGUAAUUC
rnacentral:rRNA from 1 species